rnacentral:tRNA from 1 species
GCGGAUAUAGAUUAAUGGCAAAUUCUCUGCCUUCCAAGCAGAUCAUGCGAGUUCGAUUCUCGCUAUCCGCU